rnacentral:rRNA from 1 species
GAACGCUUCUUUCCUCCCGAGUGCUUGCACUCAACUGGAAAGAGGAGUGGCGGACGGGUGAGUAACACGUGGGUAACCUACCCAUCAGAGGGGGAUAACACUUGGAAACAGGUGCUAAUACCGCAUAACAGUUUAUGCCGCAUGGCAUAAGAGUGAAAGGCGCUUUCGGGUGUCGCUGAUGGAUGGACCCGCGGUGCAUUAGCCAGUUGGUGAGGUAACGGCUCACCAAGGCCACGAUGCAUAGCCGACCUGAGAGGGUGAUCGGCCACACUGGGACUGAGACACGGCCCAGACUCCUACGGGAGGCAGCAGUAGGGAAUCUUCGGCAAUGGACGAAAGUCUGACCGAGCAACGCCGCGUGAGUGAAGAAGGUUUUCGGAUCGUAAAACUCUGUUGUUAGAGAAGAACAAGGACGUUAGUAACUGAACGUCCCCUGACGGUAUCUAACCAGAAAGCCACGGCUAACUACGUGCCAGCAGCCGCGGUAAUACGUAGGUGGCAAGCGUUGUCCAGAUUUAUUGGGCGUAAAGCGAGCGCAGGCGGUUUCUUAAGUCUGAUGUGAAAGCCCCCGGCUCAACCGGGGAGGGUCAUUGGAAACUGGGAGACUUGAGUGCAGAAGAGGAGAGUGGAAUUCCAUGUGUAGCGGUGAAAUGCGUAGAUAUAUGGAGGAACACCAGUGGCGA